ensembl:lincRNA Gm26522 predicted gene, 26522
GGAAAUGCCAACUAAGUAUUUCUUAGUGUGUCAAUAAAAGAUAGUGGAAAAAGAAAACCAAACAAUUAAUUAUGGCCCAUCUCAGGGUUCAUAAUAUAAACUAAGUAUCUUUUUUUUUUGCCCAUGAUUGUCAAGUUUACAAAUUUGAUCUGAAGGCAAAAAAAGGAACAUGGCUGUACAAGAGGUCUAAAAACCCUCACCCAGAACAUGAGCUGAACACAGACAACAACAAUGAAUGUCUUGGAGUGGUCUAGGGAAAGGCUCUGAGGCUUCAACUCUAUACAAAUAAUUGCAAGCAACUAAGGAAUUCUGAGACAGGGAGAAAGUCUUCCUCAGUGAAGAGCACACCAAUUGGUUAUCCAAAACCAAAUGGUCAGGCCUCAAACCAUACACAUACAGACUGAGGAAAUUAUACACAUACUUAUGAACAUGUGUGUGUGUGCGUAUAUAUUAAGAAAUAAAAAUUAGAGGCCAUGACUUUGAAAAGGAGAAUGGAAGGGUAUAUAGGCAGGUUUGAGGGGAGAAAAGAGAAAGGGGGAAAUUGUGUAUCUCUAAAACAUACAAACAAACAAAAAACAACCUAGGCCCAUUCAAAUACACACUGAGAACUAAAUUCAGAUUGAAUACACCUACCACAUCCAUCAUGUAACUGAAACUUGAGAUUCAGAUACUGUUGGGAUGGAUUUAGUACAGGGCUUAGAGUUAAUAGUAAAAAUAAUUAACAGCUGGGCAGUGGUGGCGCACGCCUUUAAUCCCAGCCUCUUGUCCUUUCUAUCUUCAGACCUUCUCUCCAUGGGAACUUUCAAUCUCUUCCCCUUCUCCUCUGUCUCCCUUCCCAAGGCUGUUUCCCUGAUCUGUGAUCUUGCCUCCCCUGCCAAAAGCAGUUUCCAAAUAAACCUGAGAUAUAGAUAGAUAGAUAGAUAGAUAGAUAGAUAGACAGACAGAUAGGUAGAUAGGUCCCUGAUCUGGCUUGAAUUAGCUCAUUUUACCGUGAAGGAAUAACUUAUCAGAGACUUCAUAUGAUAAGGCGAUGCAAACCUUUUCUCUCCCUUCUGCCUCAUCUCCAUGCUCAAAUUUAGAAAAGAAACAAUUGUAGACACCACCCAGGAUUAAGCUAAACCCAGUCACCUGGAAUUUAGUAAAUGACUCCUUGUUGGAGGCAGGGGAGGUGGGAUAUAUGACAGCAUUUAUUCUACUCACAAGAAAACUACAGUUCAGAGUUGAGUUUCUCUGUGCAACUCUGACUGGGGAGACCAUAAGUGUCACUCUUCUUAUCUGUACUACUGUUUUCCUAUAUCCGAGGCACGUGGAAUGCCCCAGUCUUCAUUUACUACAUACUCACUGAGAGCCAAGUGUUAGGCAUUGCGUUUGCUUCCGUCAUAUCCAAACACUACUGUAAAAUGUGACAAAAGAGACAGGAAAAAGCUUUUGUAUAUCUCUCGAAAUUCCUUAAACAAGGCGUCCAGAAAUGUCAAGGAAAGUAGCAGAUAAAACAGGCCCAGUUUGAAGUGGUCUCUUCCCACUACCUCACAGGGAAAGAAGGAGCGCCCCCAUU